rnacentral:rRNA from 1 species
GACGAACGCUGGCGGCGGGCUUAACACAUGCAAGUCGAACGGAAAGGCCCUGCUUUUGUGGGGUGCUCGAGUGGCGAACGGGUGAGUAACACGUGAGUAACCUGCCCUUGACGUUGGGAUAACUUCAGGAAACUGGGGCUAAUACCGGAUAGGAGCUCCUGCUGCAUGGUGGGGGUUGGAAAGUUUCGGCGGUUGGGGCUGUACUCGCGUCUUAUCAGCUUGUUGGUGGGGUAGUGGCUUACCAAGGCUUUGACGGGUAGCCGGCCUGAGAGGGUGACGGGCCACGGUGGGACCGCGAUACGGCGCAGACUCCUACGGGAGUCAGCAGUGGGGAGUAUUGCACAAUGGGCGGAGCCCUGAUGCAGAAGCGCCGCGUGCGGGCUGACGGCCUUCGGGUUGUAAACGGCUUUAGCCUGUGACGAAGGGUGGGUGACGGUACCGGGUAAAGAAGCACCGGCUAACUCCGUG